UCCGGUUUGUCACCGGCAGUCUCCUUAGAGUUCCCGCCAUUACGCGCUGGCAACUAAGGACAAGGGUUGCGCUCGUUGCGGGACUUAACCCAACAUCUCACGACACGAGCUGACGACAGCCGUGCACCACCUGUGAUCCUGCCCCGAAGGGAAGCCCUGUUUCCAGGGAGAUCAGGAACAUGUCAAGCCUUGGUAAGGUUCUUCGCGUUGCAUCGAAUUAAACCACAUGCUCCGCUGCUUGUGCGGGCCCCCGUCAAUUCCUUUGAGUUUUAGCCUUGCGGCCGUACUCCCCAGGCGGGGUGCUUAAUGCGUUAGCUUCGGCACGGAGGGAGUCGACACCCCCCACACCUAGCACCCAUCGUUUACGGCGUGGACUAC
rnacentral:misc_RNA from 1 species